rnacentral:rRNA from 1 species
AUUGAACGCUGGCGGCAUGCCUUACACAUGCAAGUCGAACGGCAGCACGGGAGCAAUCCUGGUGGCGAGUGGCGAACGGGUGAGUAAUAUAUCGGAACGUGCCUAGUAGUGGGGGAUAACUGCUCGAAAGAGCAGCUAAUACCGCAUACGACCUGAGGGUGAAAGGGGGGGAUCGCAAGACCUCUCGCUAUUGGAGCGGCCGAUAUCAGAUUAGCUAGUUGGUGGGGUAAAGGCCUACCAAGGCAACGAUCUGUAGUUGGUCUGAGAGGACGACCAGCCACACUGACACUGACAUACGGGUCAGACUCCUACGGGAGGCAGCAGUCGGGAAUUUUGGGCAAUGGGCGAAAGCCUGACCCAGCAACGCCGCGUGAAGGAUGAAAUCCUUCGGGAUGUAAACUUCGCAAGAAUAGGAAGAAUGAGCGAGCGCUAACACCGUUCGCGAUGACGGUACUAUUUGUAAGCUCCGGCUAACUCCGUGCCAGCAGCCGCCGUAAAAC